UACGUAGGGUGCAAGCGUUGUCCGGAAUUAUUGGGCGUAAAGAGCUCGUAGGCGGUCUGUCGCGUCGGCUGUGAAAACCCGGAGCUCAACUCCGGGCCUGCAGUCGAUACGGGCAGACUGGAGUUCGGCAGGGGAGACUGGAAUUCCUGGUGUAGCGGUGAAAUGCGCAGAUAUCAGGAGGAACACCGGUGGCGAAGGCGGCCUGCUGGGCAGUAGCUGACGCUGAGGCGCGACAGCGUGGGGAGCAAACAGG
rnacentral:rRNA from 1 species